CCUACGGGCGGCAGCAGUCGAGAAUCAUUCACAAUGGGGGAAACCCUGAUGGUGCGACGCCGCGUGGGGGAAUGAAGGUCUUCGGAUUGUAAACCCCUGUCAUGUGGGAGCAAAUUAAAAAGAUAGUACCACAAUAGGAAGAGACGGCUAACUCUGGGCCAGCAGCCGCGGUAAUACAGAGGUCUCAAGCGUUGUUCGGAAUCACUGGGCGUAAGGCGUGCGUAGGCUGUUUCGUAAGUCGUGUGUGAAAGGCGCGGGCUCAACCCGCGGACGGCACAUGAUACUGCGAGACUAGAGUAAUGGAGGGGGAACCGGAAUUCUCGGUGUAGCAGUGAAAUGCGUAGAUAUCGAGAGGAACACUCGUGGCGAAGGCGGGUUCCUGGACAUUAACUGACGCUGAGGCACGAAGGCCAGGGGAGCGAAAGGGAUUAGAUACCCGUGUAGUC
rnacentral:rRNA from 1 species